GAUGAACGCUGGCGGCGUGCCUAAUACAUGCAAGUCGAGCGAACAGACGAGGAGCUUGCUCCUCUGACGUUAGCGGCGGACGGGUGAGUAACACGUGGAUAACCUACCUAUAAGACUGGGAUAACUUCGGGAAACCGGAGCUAAUACCGGAUAAUAUAUUGAACCGCAUGGUUCAAUAGUGAAAGACGGUUUUGCUGUCACUUAUAGAUGGAUCCGCGCCGCAUUAGCUAGUUGGUAAGGUAACGGCUUACCAAGGCAAAGAUGCGUAGCCGACCUGAGAGAGUGGUCGGCCACACUGGAACUGAGACACGGUCCAGACUCCUACGGGAGGCAGCAGUAGGGAAUCUUCCGCAAUGGGCGAAAGCCUGACGGAGCAACGCCGCGUGAGUGAUGAGGGUCUUCGGAUCGUAAAACUCUGUUAUUAGGGAAGAACAAAUGUGUAAGUAACUAUGCACGUCUUGACGGUACCUAAUCAGAAAGCCACGGCUAACUACGUG
rnacentral:rRNA from 1 species